rnacentral:rRNA from 2 species
UGGGGAAUCUUCCGCAAUGGGCGAAAGCCUGACGGAGCAAUGCCGCGUGAAUGAAGAAGGCCUUCGGGUUGUAAAGUUCUGUUGAGAAGGAAGAAAGAUUUGAGGGCUAAUAUCUCUCAUAUUUGACGGUACUUUUCGAGGAAGCCCCGGCUAACUACGUGCCAGCAGCCGCGGUAAUACGUAGGGGGCAAGCGUUGUCCGGAAUCACUGGGCGUAAAGCGCAUGUAGGCGGGAUAUUAAGUCAGGUGUGAAAACUACAGGCUCAACCUGUAGAUUGCAUUUGAAACUGGUAUUCUUGAGUAUUGGAGAGGAAAGUGGAAUUCCUAGUGUAGCGGUGAAAUGCGUAGAUAUUAGGAGGAACACCAGUGGCGAAGGCGACUUUCUGGCCAAAAACUGACGCUGAGAUGCGAAAGCGUGGGGAGCAAACAGG